CGUAGGUGGCAAGCGUUAUCCGGAAUUAUUGGGCGUAAAGGGAGCGUAGGCGGCUUGAUAAGUCUGAGGUGAAAGUUCGGGGCUCAACUCCGGAUUGCCUUAGAAACUGUCAGGGCUAGAGUGCAGGAGAGGGCAAUGGAAUUCCAUGUGUAGCGGUAAAAUGCGUAGAUAUAUGGAGGAACACCAGUGGCGAAGGCGGUUGCCUGGCCUGUAACUGACGCUGAGGCUCGAAAGCGUGGGGAGCAAAUAGGAUUAGAUACCCUAGUAGUCCUAGCCGUAAACAAUGGAUACUAGAUGUUGAACAGAUCGACCUGUGCAGUAUUAAAGCUAACGCGUUAAGUAUCCCGCCUGGGAAGUAUACUCGCAAGAGUG
rnacentral:rRNA from 1 species